rnacentral:rRNA from 1 species
CAGGCUUAACACAUGCAAGUCGAGGGGCAGCAUGAUUGAAGCUUGCUUCAAUCGAUGGCGACCGGCGCACGGGUGAGUAACACGUAUCCAACCUGCCGAUAACUCGGGGAUAGCCUUUCGAAAGAAAGAUUAAUACCCGAUAGCAUAGUAUUUCCGCAUGGCUUCACUAUUAAAGAAUUUCGGUUAUCGAUGGGGAUGCGUUCCAUUAGAUAGUUGGCGGGGUAACGGCCCACCAAGUCAACGAUGGAUAGGGGUUCUGAGAGGAAGGUCCCCCACAUUGGAACUGAGACACGGUCCAAACUCCUACGGGAGGCAGCAGUGAGGAAUAUUGGUCAAUGGACGAGAGUCUGAACCAGCCAAGUAGCGUGAAGGAUGACUGCCCUAUGGGUUGUAAACUUCUUUUAUACGGGAAUAAAGUGGAGUAUGCAUACUCCUUUGUAUGUACCGUAUGAAUAAGGAUCGGCUAACUCCGUGCCAGCAGCCGCGGUAAUACGGAGGAUCCGAGCGUUAUCCGGAUUUAUUGGGUUUAAAGGGAGCGUAGGCGGGUGCUUAAGUCAGUUGUGAAAGUUUGCGGCUCAACCGUAAAAUUGCAGUUGAUACUGGGCGCCUUGAGUGCAGCAUAGGUAGGCGGAAUUCGUGGUGUAGCGGUGAAAUGCUUAGAUAUCACGAAGAACUCCGAUUGCGAAGGCAGCUUACUGGACUGUAACUG